rnacentral:rRNA from 1 species
UGUGCAAAGGUAGCAUAAUCAUUAGUCUCAUAAUUUGAGACUUGUAUGAAAGAGUGAACUAGAAAGAAAAUUUUUCCGUAAACAUUUUUGAAUUUUACUUUUUAGUAAAAAGGCUAAAAUAACUCUUUUAGACAAGAAGACCCUGUAAAAUUUUACAUGAACAAAGUUUAGAUGCUUUAAUAGUGUUUAGCUGGGGCGGCUGAAAAAACAACUUCAAAUUUUGAAUACUUUUAGUCAUUAUACCCAAAAUUUUUGAAUAUUAAAUAAAUUACUUCAGGGAUAACAGCGUUAUANACUUUGAGAGCUCUCAUCGACAAGUAUGUUUNCNACCUCGAGGGUGGAUUAAAAGGUCUUUUNUGCGCAAGAGUAAAGAAAGAGGGUCUUGNC